UUGACGGGGACCCGCACAAGCGGUGGAUGAUGUGGUUUAAUUCGAUGCAACGCGAAAAACCUUACCCACCUUUUGACAUGUACGGAAUCCUUUAGAGAUUUGGGAGUGCUCGAAAGAGAACCUGCACACAGGUGCUGCAUGGCUGUCGUCAGCUCGUGUCGUGAGAUGUUGGUUAAGUCCCGCAACGAGCGCAACCCUUGUCAUUAGUUGCCAUCAUUUGGUUGGGCACUCUAAUGAGACUGCCGGUGACAAACCGGAGGAAGGUGGGGAUGACGUCAAGUCCUCAUGGCCCUUAUGGGUAGGGCUUCACACGUCAUACAAUGGUCGGUACAGAGGGUUGCCAACCCGCGAGGGGGAGCUAAUCCCACAAAGCCGAUCGUAGUCCGGAUCGCAGUCUGCAACUCGACUGCGUGAAGUCGGAAUCGCUAGUAAUCGUGGAUCAGCAUGUCACGGUGAAUACGUUCCCGGGUCUU
rnacentral:rRNA from 1 species